AAAAUCCAAUCUUCACCACUCUUGUCUAAUAAAUGCAAAUAAUUAAAAUCCAAAGUAAACAAAAAAAUCUGUAUAAAAUUAGUCUCCAAACUCCUAUGCAUUUCAUCCUGUAGGACUUCUUCAGGGAUCUGUAUUUUUCACCUAAUGUGAAAACCUGCCCAGUGAGCUCUCCUAUGACAGGAAGACUCCAAGCACCAUAACCACUACAGUGGGCCGUAGUGCUUAUUGUGCAAAAAUUGUAAGAAGUCAAACAGUUUUUCUGACAUUUUGACUUCUCACCUGGUGUCCACUGGACAUUGCUUCCUGCAUUUCUUCAAUCAGAAGUGAGAGCUGAAAGCUCCUGCUUGGAGCUUCAUUGGCUGAAAGUGUCAGGUGAUAGCUGUCGGCCAAUAAAAUAAGCUCUGCCCAAACUGUAAAUCGGCACCACUACUGUCAAACCACUGAUAACUAUAGCCAGCAUUAGCUGUAAGGGCAUUAUGGGAGAUGUAGUCCAAAACAUCUGCAGUGAGGAAGGUUGCCAAUUAAUGUAAAAGAUAAUUAUUAUUAUUUUAUUAUUUAUAUAGUGCCUGCAAAUUCCAUAGCACUGUACAAUGGGUGGACUAACAGACACGUAACUGUAGCCAGACAAAUGGAUGCACAGGAACAUAGGGGUUGAAGGACCUGCUCAAUGAGCUCACAUGCUAGAGGGAGUGGAGUAUAGUGACACAAAAGGUAUAAGUAAG